rnacentral:rRNA from 1 species
GAUGAACGCUGGCGGCGUGCCUAAUACAUGCAAGUCGAGCGAACAGACGAGGAGCUUGCUCCUCUGACGUUAGCGGCGGACGGGUGAGUAACACGUGGAUAACCUACCUAUAAGACUGGGAUAACUUCGGGAAACCGGAGCUAAUUCCGGAUAAUAUAUUGAACCGCAUGGUUCAAUAGUGCAAGACGGUUUUCCUGUCACUUAUAGAUGGAUCCGCGCCGCAUUAGCUAGUUGGUAAGGUAACGGCUUACCAAGGCAACGAUGCGUAGCCGACCUGAGAGGGUGAUCGGCCACACUGGAACUGAGACACGGUCCAGACUCCUACGGGAGGCAGCAGUAGGGAAUCUUCCGCAAUGGGCGAAAGCCUGACGGAGCAACGCCGCGUGAGUGAUGAAGGUCUUCGGAUCGUAAAACUCUGUUAUUAGGGAAGAACAAAUGUGUAAGUAACUAUGCACGUCUUGACGGUACCUAAACAGAAAGCCACGGCUAACUACGUG